GAGAUUUUCGCAAUGCCCGAAAGGGUGACGAAGCGACGCCGCGUGUGGGAAGAAGGCCUUCGGGUUGUAAACCGCUGUCGGGAGUUAAGAAAUGUAAGGAUGUUAAUAGCAUCUUUGCUUGACUAAGGCUCCGGAGGAAGCCACGGCUAACUCUGUGCCAGCAGCCGCGGUAAUACAGAGGCGGCAAGCGUUGUUCGGAAUUAUUGGGCGUAAAGAGCACGUAGGCGGCUAUGUAAGUCGGUUGUGAAAGCCUUCCGCUCAACGGGAGAACAGCAUCCGAUACUGCAUGGCUUGAGUGCGGGAGGGGAGAGUGGAACUUCUGGUGGAGCGGUGAAAUGCGUAGAUAUCAGAAGGAACGCCGGCGGCGAAAGCGGCUCUCUGGCCCAUAACUGACGCUGAGUGUGCGAAAGCUAGGGGAGCAAACGGGAUUAGAUACCCCGGUAGUCCUAGCCGUAAACGAUGGGCACUAAGUAGAGGGGUUUUA
rnacentral:rRNA from 1 species